AGUGAACGCUGGCGGUAGGCCUAACACAUGCAAGUCGAACGGCAGCACAGUAAGAGCUUGCUCUUACGGGUGGCGAGUGGCGGACGGGUGAGGAAUACAUCGGAAUCUACUUUUUCGUGGGGGAUAACGUAGGGAAACUUACGCUAAUACCGCAUACGACCUACGGGUGAAAGCAGGGGAUCUUCGGACCUUGCGCGAUUGAAUGAGCCGAUGUCGGAUUAGCUAGUUGGCGGGGUAAAGGCCCACCAAGGCGACGAUCCGUAGCUGGUCUGAGAGGAUGAUCAGCCACACUGGAACUGAGACACGGUCCAGACUCCUACGGGAGGCAGCAGUGGGGAAUAUUGGACAAUGGGCGCAAGCCUGAUCCAGCCAUACCGCGUGAGUGAAGAAGGCCUUCGGGUUGUAAAGCCCUUUUGUUGGGAGAGAAAAGCAGCAGGUUAAUACCCCGCUGUUCUGACGGUACCCAAAGAAUAAGCACCGGCUAACUUCGUG
rnacentral:rRNA from 1 species